UGGGGAAUAUUGCACAAUGGGCGCAAGCCUGAUGCAGCCAUGCCGCGUGUAUGAAGAAGGCCUUCGGGUUGUAAAGUACUUUCAGCGGGGAGGAAGGCGAUAAGGUUAAUAACCUUGUCGAUUGACGUUACCCGCAGAAGAAGCAUCGGCUAACUCCGUGCCAGCAGCCGCGGCAAUACGGAGGGUGCAAGCGUUAAUCGGAAUUACUGGGCGUAAAGCGCACGCAGGCGGUCUGUCAAGUCGGAUGUGAAAUCCCCGGGCUCAACCUGGGAACUGCAUUCGAAACUGGCAGGCUAGAGUCUUGUAGAGGGGGGUAGAAUUCCAGGUGUAGCGGUGAAAUGCGUAGAGAUCUGGAGGAAUACCGGUGGCGAAGGCGGCCCCCUGGACAAAGACUGACGCUCAGGUGCGAAAGCGUGGGGAGCAAACA
rnacentral:rRNA from 1 species